rnacentral:rRNA from 1 species
UAAUACCGUAUAACAACCAAAACCACCUGGUUUUGGUUUAAAAGACGGCUUCGGCUGUCACUUUAGGAUGGACCCGCGGCGUAUUAGCUUGUUGGUAAGGUAACGGCCUACCAAGGCGAUGAUACGUAGCCGACCUGAGAGGGUAAUCGGCCACAUUGGGACUGAGACACGGCCCAAACUCCUACGGGAGGCAGCAGUAGGGAAUCUUCCACAAUGGACGAAAGUCUGAUGGAGCAACGCCGCGUGAGUGAUGAAGGGUUUCGGCUCGUAAAACUCUGUUGUUGGAGAAGAACAGGUGUCAGAGUAACUGUUGACAUCUUGACGGUAUCCAACCAGAAAGCCACGGCUAACUACGUGCCAGCAGCCGCGGUAAUACGUAGGUGGCAAGCGUUGUCCGGAUUUAUUGGGCGUAAAGCGAGCGCAGGCGGUUUUUUAGGUCUGAUGUGAAAGCCUUCGGCUUAACCGGAGAAGUGCAUCGGAAACCGGGAGACUUGAGUGCAGAAGAGGACAGUGGAACUCCAUGUGUAGCGGUGAAAUGCGUAGAUAUAUGGAAGAACACCAGUG